rnacentral:rRNA from 1 species
UACGUAGGGGGCAAGCGUUGUCCGGAAUCAUUGGGCGUAAAGAGCGUGUAGGCGGCUCGAUAAGUCCGCUCUGAAAAGCCCGGGGCUCAACCCCCGGGAGGCGGGCGGAUACUGUCGAGCUAGAGUCCGGAAGAGGCGAGUGGAAUUCCUGGUGUAGCGGUGGAAUGCGCAGAUAUCAGGAAGAACACCCGUGGCGAAGGCGCUCUCUGGAACGCAACUGGACGCUGAGACGCGAAAGCGUGGGGAGCAAACAGG